GUAAUCGGAUUCGCUCAAUCCACAUGUGUUGGGGUGGGUUGGAGUGGAAAUUCCACCCCAAUCUACUCCAACACAUGUGGAUUGAGGUGAAUCCGACA
rfam:Sorghum bicolor cultivar BTx623 chromosome 4, whole genome shotgun sequence.